CAGCCGCCGCGGUAAUACGUAGGGGGCGAGCGUUGUCCGGAAUUACUGGGCGUAAAGGGCGUGUAGGCGGGUAAUUAAGUCUGAUGUGAAAGCCCACGGCUCAACCGUGGAGGGUCAUUGGAAACUGGGGGACUUGAGUGCAGGAGAGGAGAGCGGAAUUCCACGUGUAGCGGUGAAAUGCGUAGAGAUGUGGAGGAACACCAGUGGCGAAGGCGGCUCUCUGGCCUGUAACUGACGCUGAGGCGCGAAAGCGUGGGGAGCAAACAGGAUUAGAUACCCUGGUAGUCCACGCCGUAAACGAUGAGUGCUAAGUGUUAGAGGGGUCACACCCUUUAGUGCUGCAGCUAACGCGAUAAGCACUCCGCCUGGGGAGUACGGCCGCAAGGCUGAAACUUAAAGGAAUUGGCGGG
rnacentral:rRNA from 1 species